CAUUGGAUCGCUUCCCUCCAACUCUCAUUUUUCAUACUAAAUAUAUAUAUAUAUAUAUAUAUAUAUUGGUAUGGAGAUGCAUAAAUUUAUGUCUGUAUUUAUUUUAAAUAGAUAUGAAUAUAUAUUGAAUACUGAAAAGCAUGGAUAUAAGUUAGUGAGUUAAACUUCACAAUCACAAAAUUAAAUAUAUCACUAAAUAGAAUGUAAAAUAAGCCAG
rnacentral:lncRNA from 1 species